rnacentral:rRNA from 1 species
UAGGGAAUUUUUCACAAUGAGCGAAAGCUUGAUGGAGCAAUGCCGCGUGAACGAUGAAGGUCUUUAAGAUUGUAAAGUUCUUUUAUUUGGGAAGAAUGACUUUAGCAGGUAAUGGCUAGAGUUUGACUGUACCAUUUUGAAUAAGUGACGACUAACUAUGUGCCAGCAGUCGCGGUAAUACAUAGGUCGCAAGCGUUAUCCGGAUUUAUUGGGCGUAAAGCAAGCGCAGGCGGAUUGAAAAGUCUGGUGUUAAAGGCAGCUGCUUAACAGUUGUAUGCAUUGGAAACUAUUAAUCUAGAGUGUGGUAGGGAGUUUUGGAAUUUCAUGUGGAGCGGUGAAAUGCGUAGAUAUAUGAAGGAACACCAGUGGCGAAGGCGAAAACUUAGGCCAUUACUGACGCUUAGGCUUGAAAGUGUGGGGAGCAAAUAGGAUUAGAUACCCUAGUAGUCCACACCGUGAACGAUAGAUACUAGCUGUCGGGGCGAUCCCCUCGGUAGUGAAGUUAACACAUUAAGUAUCUCGCCUGGGUAGUACAUUCGCAAGAAUG